UCCGAGCAUGAGUAGUGGGGUUUUGAGCGCCCGGUACUUGUUCGAUCUUCAAGUUGAAAUUGCCUAGAGUUAAAAACAAGGCAAUGCACCCCCCAUCUUUUUCUAGCUGGAUUUGCCCCUGUUCUAAGUGGCUUAAACUAUUCUGUAUCGAACCAUGAAUACUCCGAAAAAUAUAUACAAUAAUUCACUUGAGUUGUAACGAAUUUUUCCCAUCCAUAAUCACAUAUACAAUUUCCUAUCUGAAAUUUUGUUGAGUGAGUUCUAGUUCACAAUGUUGAGAACUCACAUGACACAACCAAUUUCGCCAGCAAAUGUGCAGGGCAAUCAAUUCGUCAGCUCUAACACUGCAAUGUACAAACCCAAGAGAGCCGCCCUCCGAUCGAGUCCGACGACGAAGGCUACACCGGCGGCAGCGCAUCGGCAUCUGCGUCGGCCGACGUCGACUCCGCCGCCGCCGCCGCGGGCUUCGUCN
rnacentral:lncRNA from 1 species